GGGUGGGGAUAAUGAUUGGUGACCUCAGCAGGUCUCCACUGGGGCAGCCAUUCCUGAGGCUGGGCCUCCAUUCCAGGCUCUUCUGUUCAGGGGAAGCCUGGGCACCUUGUCAGGUGCCUGGCAGAGCAGCCGCUUCAGGAGCUGCCAUCGCAUCUGUGGUUGACCAGCAGCUUUUGUCUUCUCAGGCCCUACUGCCUUGUGCCAAAUCUGAGAGGGUGAGAGUACGCCAAUGUGCCAUGGAGAGGAUUGCCAACCUGAGCAAGGUCCUAGUCCCUGCUUCGCUGAUAGUGGUAAGGAGCCGGAGAGACAAGCAGCAUUUAACCCCCUUCUUGUCCCAUCCUGGUGCCCUAAUAAGCUGGUAGCUCUGGGCUCUGUGCUCUGCAAGACCAGCACAUCUGGGGCAGAUCCCCCAGACACCAAAAUCCAGCAGCCACUCAAAACCCUUCAACAGUUCCCACCAAAGACAGUCAGUGUGCUCCUAGAUGUGGGUCUGCCACGGGUAGGCCCCUGCGUGGCACAGGGCAGAGCUGGCCAAAGCGCUGGCUCUCAACUCCUGUGGUGCUCAGCCCGCUGCUGGCUCUGGGGGGUCAGGGCUUUUGUCCCAUGUGCAUCAGUUCAACCCAGCUACCUCUGCCUUUCCUUCGUUCCUCAGAGCUCAUCUCGAUACAGUGAAAGCGGGGACAGCAAUCGCUUCUUAGAAAAGAAGUCUGAGAUGCUCGUGGGGCAGCUGUUGGGGCACCUCAUCCUCUGCUGUGCUGAGGAGGAUCAGGACAUCAGGCAUGAUUCUAUGGAGGCUCUGCAUGACAUCCACAGGAUCCUGGCAAUGCGACAGAGUUACAAGUUUGGAUAUGCUAAUCUCGAACUAUAUGCGGAGAGUGAAUGCUGGGACUACUUCUGCGCCCAAUAUGCUGCCCUGAAUACACUGGUAAGCAGCUCAUCCCUUGCUGGGAUGCUUGACCCCUCCCCCCCCCGCGGCAGGAGGCUCACAUGAGCCAAUACUUCAG
rnacentral:lncRNA from 1 species